ACUUGAUCCACGGAGUACACCGUUUGGGAGCCAACUAGGCGCUUCAGAGGCGCUGUUUGGUUAAAUGUGCCAUCCAUAGGUAAUUGACGGAGAACAUCCAUCAACCACUUAUGAAGGGGGCCUAACAGCCUUUGGUGAACCCAGUUACCUAUGGCAAAUAACCUUAGCUAAAGAGAAUACCGAUAAGUAAAACUUCACUAGCAUAUCUGCCCUCUCCUCCCUCGUGCUUAUCCAUUUUAGAUGAAAAGGAGGAAUGAUCCUAGGCAGACCCUUCCUGGUAAGGAAAACGGGAACAGAAAACUUCUGCGGCAAGCCUGGGUCUUGUACAGCAUAAUACUGCAUCAGACAAGUGGAUGCCUGCUUUCUGUCGCCUUUUCCAAAUCUGUAGCUGGGAAAUAAGUUCUCUGUUCUUUUCAAUCCGACAGCAGUCCUUCGCAACUGAUUUGACAUCCAGAGAAGAGAGUCCUUAUUACCUGGCAAACGAAUUGAGCUCUUGAGAUUAGGGGCGUACGGAACGUGGGUUACCGUAACCGUAACCAGUCUUACAAAGAAAGUAAUUGGGUUCUUCUGUCCGAGACCGAGGAAUCAGAGUCACAGGCCUUUAACCGGGGUAAAAAGUCUUAGUCCUGGGAAGGCUACCAUAGCCUUUCAUCAGGCGUAUAGGAGCUAGGCAUAGUUCCGAAUUUUUUGCACAAGAUUAGGAAAGAGGCUCCUGAGGGACUUGAUGAGGCUGCUCAAUAAUGUUGGAUACCCCCGUGGGGGAGAGAUCUCACUAUACUCGAAUCAAUUUAACAAAUUUCCACCACCAAGUUUUUAUUCAAGAAUUCCAUACUCAAACCGUUUCCCCCCCUAUAGAUGAAUAAGGGAGAGGCCUUUGACAUUAGUAUUUAUCAUUACCCUUUCAUAGAUACGAGCUGGAUGGAUGAUUAGUAGACCAAGUCCAAUUCAAUGCAAGGCCUUCAAGUAUCGAUUUUGGCACAUGGCAGCCCAAGGAUAAUUGCUAGUUAGACAGCACCACGCGAGCUUCAUCUCAUCAUGCAAGCUUUGCUUCUUUCUUCCAUACGCCUGAUGCCAAGACCCCCUUCUUCCACCUCACUCCUGGCUUUGGAAGGAGAGGUUUCGUUUCUAUAUUUGUAUAUAGAGAUAGACGUAAGGUUGGGGGGAUAGAGCUUUGCAAUUCAAAAGGUUGCCUUCCUCUAUCUCAUAGUACGGAGUAGAAGGUAGGGUAAAAUUACCGCUGAAGUGAUGCUUUAAUUUAAGAAAAGAAGGAGAAUGGAAUGCUCAUUGGUGUUUAGGGAUCCCCCAUACUUCCUUUUGUCUACGUACGAGCAGAGAUCGCUAGGUUCGGGUCCUCCCCUUCUCUAGUUCAUCAUAGCCGCUCUCCAUCCCAAUUGGUCAUUCGCCUUAAGGAAAGAUGAAGCAACAAGUAGGAAUGAGAACAAGCAUAAUUAAAUAAUAAUAAUAAUAAAAAAGAAUCGCAUCUCAGUGUUCUAUGAUUGAGAAAGCGACAGGCCCAAUGAGCUCUCCUAUAGUGCCUCGAAAUGAGGCCGGAGAGCCUGAGAUCGGCUAAGAUCGAGAUGGAAAUGGUGAUGAGAUGCAAACUUAGAUUGAAAAAGUGUUCCGUAAGUGAAAUCAAUUGAUUCAUAAUGGUAGAAAAGAAAAACGGCGCGCACGGACCGUGCUAGAGUUGAAUCUUCCCAGAAGCAAGUAGUAGGCCCACGUAUUUCAACGAGAACACCUAAUUCAGCUUCACGUAAGAUAGCUAAAGUAUGGUAUCGACAUGAUUAUGAAUGAUAGAAUACCCGAAACACAGAAAGAGCUAGCAAAGUAAGUAGCAAAGGGAGAAGGGACUCAACUUCCUUACGAAGUAGGAGCGGAAGAGAAGCUUCCUAUCCAUCCCCGGACGAAAGUAAGCACGGUUUCCUAAGUUUGAAGCAGGACGUUAAGGCUUUAGAAAGUAAAAUGUUUGAAAUAGAAGGAUCAUAAGUCCCCGGAGACAGUCUGCCUUUCCUUUUUUGGGUUAGGAGUGAUAUCCUCGGGUUCCUUCUCUCUCUUGAAAGUGAAAGCCGAAGACGUUGAAGAAGGUACGGAAGCCGGGAAAACCACUUCAUACGAUAACAAUAGCAUUCACAGCGGAACAAACGGAUCAGAUAUAGCUACAGCUGGCCUAGCUGCCUAAGGCCUAUCUCAAAAAGGCCUCGUCUCGAGUUGCUCGGCUUAAGGUCGCGAAGAUCAAGCUUGGACAAGGUGAGGGAGAAGUUGCUGUAUGAGGUCCGGUGACAUCCAAAUUUGGACAGACGGGAGACGAUGAUCGAAGUCAGACUUGAGUAUGGGACGAGAACUCGCUGAUUUUGAUAAGCAUCAAAUGAGACUGAAAGCACCAUAGGAAGAGAACCUUGAGUUGUUUUUGACCAACUGACUGGGAAGCUCCGCUUGGGAGACAUAGGCAAAAGGAGGUGAUGAUGUGAUUCCUUAUGUACCUGUGUCUGUGUCCUUUGACAAAUCUACCUCUGAAUCUGUUGACCCAUCUCUAUCUAUAUCUUCUUCUAGGUCGGUGGACCCUGGUCUUGUUCGAGUUUAUGAUAUUCCCCGCUCGUGCCUCCCCUGUCACGUAUGGGGAUCCCCUUCGCUGCCUUUCAUUUAGCUACUCUUCAGUAUUUUACAUUUUACCCUAAAAGGUCGGAAAAAACCACUACAUUUCUUGAAUGGUCGCUGCCUACAUAACUCUUUCUCCCUCUUUUCAAGGAAGUGAGUCUCAGACCUAUUUAUGUAGUUCUCGGUCCUUUUUUUACAGUUUCUGACUGGUACUUUUGUGGCUCUUCACUCCAGCCCUGAAGUAUUCUGUAAGCUGUCAUGAGUACGCCUUUUUAGCCUACUCCGACAGCAAAUUGGCGUAGUUUUGGCAGCCAGCCUCCGCACCCUGGCAUAGGCAUUUGCUUACUUGCUCGCCAAUGCCUUGGGCUAGGCCUUUCGCCGCCCUCGCCCUCACAAUUCUCCACCCUCUGACCUUAACUACCCCCUCGACAUCGGUGGCCCCCUUAUUAUGAUUGAAUUGAAUACUCAUUCUGGUUACUGAUCAUUCUUAUCUCAUUCAUUAGGGAAGGGGCAACCCAUUUGCGCGACGGAAUUGUUCGUCAGUAAAAUGAGAGCGGAAUUCCUGGUAAAUUGUUGAAUCUCUGCCGUUCUGGUUUAAAGGAAGUUAGAUUUCCAUCAAGGCAGCUUAAGGUGAUCGAGAAGACGGAUGAAAGAUAGAUCUCUUCUCCCCUAGGCCUUAAAUAUUUUGCUGACUUUCGAAUUCGUUGUUGGAGAAAGCGAAAAGGAUUCCUUCUGGUUGUCACAUCUUGUCACCCUGUCUGGGCUAUCUGUUCGUAAUGCUUCCUUCUUUUCUUCGAUUGAAUGAAGUCCUUCUGAACUGGAAUCAUGAAUUGGACUCGAACCAAUAUCUCUUUUGCCUUUAGUCGAUCAUGAUGGGAAGACCCCGCUGCCCAGGAUCUCGGCACCCCUCCCCCCUUUCUAAUGAGGGGAAAUUUACCGUUUUCUACUCAAAAACCAGAGAACACUCGACCGAUCUCAUCCAAUUGAAAAAAAAAUGCUAAUUCGACUGUCCUGUCUAUUAAGGAGGAUCACGAAUCCUGGGAAUCCUGAGGCGGACCAUCUCGAAUAGAAAAAAUAUUCUACUUAUCCUAAAUAGAUAUUGGUUAAGAAAAGAUAGAAACAUUCCUAUUUUUUAUACAUCGGGUCGUUAAAUUUCUGAUUCCCUAAAGAAACCAGAUAAUCAAUAAAAUCAUCCCAAACGGGACAGUUACCUGUCCCUAAGAAGCGUCGUAUCCUUCGGAACUGCUCUAGCCGCCUAUCGAUGUCUGUUUCCCAGGCAUCGUAGAGAGCCAUGUUGAUGGCACGCGCGAUAUCUUGAUCGUCAUUUUUAUCGAGAAAAACGCCUUUCCCGAGAAAGAUUUCACGUGCUCUUUCCACCAUCCUAGCCUCCUCAUUUUUGCAGUUUGUAUUGAUUGCAUCAACUGCUCUAUAAAUGCGGUCCUCCGUCCCCGGGUCGAUCGGAUUUGGAAGGGGGCGGGCAACCUCAUCUUCCUCUUCCGCUAAAACGUCGAGGUCGAAAGAGGUCCACCCCGAGCUAGAACCUUCGUGUGAACCCACACCCACUUCGGAACUUGCCGCCGAUUCCGGGGGAAUCAAGGCGGGAAGAUUGGAACUGCCAGCACCAUUGUCAAAAUGGCAUGUCCAACCAAAGUCGAGAGGUUGCGAGCCUAUAGUAGCGACUAAUAAGUCCAAUGGUCCUAUGUGAAAUAACAAGAGUAUGAAAUCGAGAGAAAUCCAAUAAAACAAAAUUAACCCAAAACUUCUUACUACGAAACUACUGAAAAGGGAAAUUCUGAACCGUGAAAACAUGAAACACGUUUUAUGUGUCGAUAGUACGACCUGCGCGGUUGUUCUUCUUUCAUUUUCUUUCUUCUUAGAAAGCACUCACUGAGUUACUUACGAAUCAGAAGGAUUGAGGCUGACUACGGCCUCAGAUGAUUAGGCGGGGGCAGGAUUCGAACCUGCAGUUUUCAGGUCAUGAGCCUGAUGAGUUGACCAAUUCCUCUACCCCGCUUCUUCCCCGUUUCCUUCUCUUUCUCUUACUAUUUUGAUAGAGGAGACAGCCCACACUGAACACCAACCCAAUCUCGACAAACUACUAGGUGAUUCAAGUCGCUUUCUAUGGUACGAUCCGCAAAGACCUUUCUUCUUUUAUGAAAUUUUCGGGACCCUAAAAUGCAGCAGUUCUCUUAUAUACGCUAUAUGUGGCUGCUUCUUAAAUAGCUUGGCUUUAGUCCCUAUGUCCCGUACCCAUUACCUUUGGGUAGGGAAUCCACAGGAAGAAGCAUGAAAUCACCCGAGGAAUGCCUCUAUUUAUGCCUGGUCGCAGGUUUCAUCAUUCUUUAUUUUAGCUCGGUAUUGAGGAAAGAGGGAGCAACUUAAUCCACCCAGUCUGCAUUCCUUUAGGAAGGAAUGCUGGAAAGGAAAGCACUUGGAACAGGCCGUUGGCUUUAGGAAGAAAGCCCGACUUUGAAGCUCAGCUUAGCCCAGGACUUUGGAAUAGAGCGAAGGAAAAGCGCCCUGGAUCUCUCGAUCCAGAACUACUAGGAGGGGAGGGAGAACCUUAUCCCAUGACUCACUUUAGUCAUGGAGGGCUGGCAAAGAAAAGUCACUUUAAGAGCUACCAGGGCAGGGAAGGUAGUCAGCUUAUUAACUGGAACAAACCAACUCCAUUGGGCAAGUGAGGGUUAACCCCCUAAAUCCAAGUCGGGGGGACUUCCUCAAAGAUCAAAGACAGGAUUGGGAAGACCGGACGUUAAGAGAGAACAAGGGAUAAGAACUAGCGUCCGGAGAUAACAAUAGAGGCCUUCAAACUUACACGAUGUUGGGGGAUAAAAGAUAGAGGAUAAGACUUCUAACGAUCCUUUUAAGAUACAUAGAUUAUCCUACAUGCCCAUAGCUAUAGCUACAGGAGCUAAUAGAAAGAGAGGGAUACGAGCCUCUUUUCCAAGCGAGCCAUGGGAGUCUACGUUUGCGUGGGGCCGGGUACCACACAUAUGUGGUGAAAGCCGACUUGCCUUUUCAUCUAAUUCGUCACUGAUAUAAGCACGUGCUAAUAUCGUUCUGCCCUUCGGGGACCACCCCUCUUCCUUUCUUGUUUUGGUUAGGUUGACCAGAAGUUUUUCUGCCAACUUCUUACCAACAAGGAAAAAUGAUACAAAAGCAUCCCGUCUAAAGAUUGGAUGACCUUAGUACGGUUGAAUUACGCAUCAAGGCGCGUCAGCCUUAACGCCCUAACUAACUAGAAAUAUCUUAUGAGAAGAAAGGGCUUUCUUUCUAUAUUGGUAAAAUUUAUUUAUGCCCGAAGAAUUUGUAGGGUUAUCGCCCGAUAAUGUUAAAUUGAUUCAAAAUAAGGUAAAGACUGGUAAGUAUACUCUGUCUCCAUUUCCACUUAAAGUAUUUUCUAGUAAAGAAAAAGCACCUAAGAAUACAUAUUUAAUUCAUAUUAAUAUAGAUAAAUCAACAGUUUAUGGAUGUUUAUAUCCUAUUCUGGAAGAUCAUAUUGUUAUUACUGCGCUUGGGCACUUGCUUAAUAGUAGAUUGAUAUCUCUUAAUAUUCCUCAUUCCUUAUCCUUUGGAUAUAAUCAGUAUCCUAGUUCAUAUUUUGCACAUAUUUUAUCGUCGAUAAAGAUACCUGUUUCUAGACUUUACAAAAUUAACAUGUUACACUCUCUAUUUAAAAUUAAUAAAGAAAGUCUUUUGACUAUGCUUGAACCAAUAGUGUUAAGUUCAGAUAUAAUGCAGUUAAUCAAAUCUAUCCUA